AAACCCUAGCCCUCUCUUUCUCACGAUGCCCUCUCUUAUGCCGCUCGCUGCGUUCCCUCUCUUCCUCCGUCGGUGUCACCGACGCUUUCGUCGCUGCACCAUCUAGUGCUUGGCCGUCAAACCUGCCCCUCUGAAAGGAGACUCUCCCCAGAUUCGGGGGCGACCAUAUCUUCCGUCGCUAGAUCCACUGCAACUCCACCGCUCCUGCUACUCGAUCGGCGAUCCGAUUCCUUCCAACCGGAGAAAGAAAUUUAGUUUUCAGGUCUUCGUGUUUGACAACCUCUAUGUAAUAAGUUUUGUCGAGAGAUCGGGGUUGUUGUCGUACUGAAAAGUGGGAUUUGAAGCUAUAUACCACAAACUACACUAUAUAUGACUAUACUCAUAUAGUCACAUGUGGUCAUAUACAUGUAGUCAUAUAUAGUCACAUGUGGUCAUAUAUAUAUAGUCAUAUAUAGUCACAUGUGGUCAUAUACAUAUAGUCAUAUAUAGUCACAUGUCGUAACAUGUAGUAAUAUAUAGUCAUAUAUAGUUACAUGUAGUCAUAUACAUAUAGUCAUAUAUAGUCACAUGUCGUAACAUCUAGUAAUAUAUAGUCAUAUAUAGUCACAUGUCGUAACAUGUAGUAAUAUAUAGUCAUAUAUAGCCACAUGUCGUAACAUGUAGUAAUAUAUAGUUAUAUAUAAACUAUGUGUUUUUUCUGAUGUAUAGUGAUUUUGAUGAUUGUGUAUAUCCAAUUUUUUGUUCGGUACUAAUUGAUUAUGAUGAUUUGUUCUUUGUUGAAGAACAUAUGCAUGUAAUUGUGUAUUUCGAUCUAUAUUUGUACAAGUUGAUUUAUAAUAUCAAGAUUUAAAUUGUGAUUUU